UACCCAGGGAGUAUGCUUGCUUUUUGGUGAAAGUGUAUGUGUGCAGUAUAGACAAUAGUGGAAUGAUAGAAAUAGUGUAGGCAGAUAGUCAACUUACUACUUCAAGAAAUGCUAGAAAUAGUUAAAUGACAAAGGUGUAAGGGACUACAGGACAAGGUGUCUUGAUGUACUAUAGACAAAGUUAGGGUGCUUCUAGACAGGGUUUGCUAACAUGCACACAACAAAGAGAAUCAUGGCUGAGAGGGUUUUGAGUGCAUUUUGAAGCUUACAGGGUUGAAUCGGGACUCCCUUUUCGGGAGUUUGCUGAUGAAGAUGAGUCCAGUGGCACCGUGACCACAGGACGGAGAAUACAACCUCCCCCUCCUUCUAGCGCCAAAUGAUAACGCCAAAUCCCGUUCCGGUGCUUCCUCCGCCGUGUACUGGUGUCUUGCGGUGUAGCUGCUGGACGGGUGUCUGCAAAACAACACCGGAGGGGGGUUUGAGCCCCGCGGCGCCUCCGGCGUGAGAAUGAGUAC
rnacentral:lncRNA from 1 species